rnacentral:rRNA from 1 species
UACAGAGGUCUCAAGCGUUGUUCGGAUUCAUUGGGCGUAAAGGGUGCGUAGGUGGCGCCGUAAGUCGGGUGUGAAAUUUCGGAGCUUAACUCCGAAACUGCAUUCGAUACUGCGGUGCUUGAGGACUGGAGAGGAGACUGGAAUUCAUGGUGUAGCAGUGAAAUGCGUAGAGAUCAUGAGGAAGACCAGUGGCGAAGGCGGGUCUCUGGACAGCUCCUGACCACUGAGGCACGAAGGCCAGGGGAGCAAACGGG